AAUAUUUAAUCUAUUCUCAAUUUGACAACAGACGUCAAGAACAAAAGUUUGACAAUUAAUAGUAUGCAUGCGUGUGUACGUCAAAUACAUGAGUAUCUUCGCCCGGCGGCGUCACCCGCGGUACGACAAUAACUGCGGGUAACAUCGCGGGACUCAACUAUCAAUAAUAAAAUUUAAUGUUUCCGAAGCGAAGCGAGGGCGGGUCGCUAGUACAUAAAUAAAGGUAUUUGUUUUUUUAUAACGUGAUUAUUUUCUUAAAUUGUUGUAAAUGUGAGUUCGUCUGUUGUUAAGCAGCUACCUGAGUGUUAUUAAGACCUGUCACGUAACAAUGACUGUCAUUUUAUAUUAUACGAAUGCAUACUUGUGGACGGAAGCAAGCGGGAUGCCAGUCCUCACCCGUGACAGCUCGCAAUGUUCCCUACCGGGUCCUUGUAAUUGUUUUUGAUUCAUUAUUAAAUUAAUUGUAAUAUAAUUACUAUGUUUCGAAAUGAAUUAAAA